GUUAUAGGGUCAAGCGAACAAGUGCAUGUGGUGGAUGCCUUGGCGAUCACAGGCGAUGAAGGACGCGGUAGCCUGCGAAAAGCUACGGGGAGCUGGCAAACAAGCUUUGAUCCGUAGAUGUCCGAAUGGGGAAACCCACUCCUUUUGGAGUAUCCAUGGCUGAAUACAUAGGCCAUGCGAAGCGAACGCGGUGAACUGAAACAUCUAAGUAACCGCAGGAAAAGAAAUCAACCGAGAUUCCCAAAGUAGUGGCGAGCGAAAUGGGAUGAGCCUUGCACUCUUUAUUUGUAUUGUUAGCCGAACGCUCUGGAAAGUGCGGCCAUAGCAGGUGAUAGCCCUGUA
rnacentral:rRNA from 1 species